rnacentral:rRNA from 1 species
CCUACGGGUGGCAGCAGUGAGGAAUAUUGGUCAAUGGCCGGGAGGCUGAACCAGCCAAGUCGCGUGAGGGAAGACGGCCCUACGGGUUGUAAACCUCUUUUGUCAGGGAGCAAGGUGCAGGUCGGGACCUGCUGUGAGAGUACCUGAAGAAAAAGCAUCGGCUAACUCCGUGCCAGCAGCCGCGGUAAUACGGAGGAUGCGAGCGUUAUCCGGAUUUAUUGGGUUUAAAGGGUGCGCAGGCGGGGUCACAAGUCAGCGGUAAAAUCGCGGGGCUCAACCCCGCUCCGCCGUUGAAACUGUGUGCCUUGAGUGCGCGAAGGGUAGGCGGAAUGCGUGGUGUAGCGGUGAAAUGCAUAGAUAUCACGCAGAACUCCGAUCGCGAAGGCAGCCUACCGGCGCGCAACUGACGCUGAUGCACGAAAGCGUGGGUAUCGAACAGGAUUAGAUACCCCAGUAGUC